GACGAACGCUGGCGGCGUGCCUAAUACAUGCAAGUUGAGCGAUGAAGCUUGGUGCUUGCACCAAUUUGAAGAGCAGCGAACGGGUGAGUAACGCGUGGGGAAUCUGCCUUUGAGCGGGGGACAACAUUUGGAAACGAAUGCUAAUACCGCAUAACAACUUUAAACAUAAGUUUUAAGUUUGAAAGAUGCAAUUGCAUCACUCAAAGAUUAUCCCGCGUUGUAUUAGCUAGUUGGUGAGGUAAAGGCUCACCAAGGCGAUGAUACAUAGCCGACCUGAGAGGGUGAUCGGCCACAUUGGGACUGAGACACGGCCCAAACUCCUACGGGAGGCAGCAGGAGGGAAUCUUCGGCAAUGGACGAAAGUCUGACCGAGCAACGCCGCGGGAGUGAAGAAGGGUGUCGGAUCGUAAAACUCUGUUGGUAGAGAAGAACGUUGGUGAGAGCGGAAAGCUCAUCAAGUGACGGUAACUACCCAGAAAGGGACGGCUAACUACGUG
rnacentral:rRNA from 1 species